CUGGCCGUGUUAGGCUUCGCUGGCGUAAAGUCCCCGGGAGCUUUGCCCCUCACGGAGAACGUUAGUUGACCCUGAUGGAGACCCGUAGGGUAAAGGUUUUGUUUUUGUUUUUUUUACGGAAAAGGUGGCCCGAGUGUGGUUAGGCCCCUUGGAAAGUUGCGACAAAACUCGAGUUAGACAAGGAAGGUCGGAACUAAGUGGCCACAGCAACAAUGCACCAGCAAGCAGGGAGCGUGAUAGGAAGAGCUAAAGAGGAAUCGAGAAACCCUGGGUAAAAGUCCAAGUGGAACUUCCUUUGGUCCGGGGUCUGAUACUCGAAGGAAACGGUCUUUCACUUCUGGGUUAGGGCGUCCGCCCACAGGGCGACUGCAAUGAAGGAAAUUGUGCCCUGCGACUUCCCGUAACAGAGCUGUGUGUCUAAGCUCCCUUUUCCGAGCAGGCGCGGACGCUUGUGCCGGAAGUAAACUUGUUAACGGUUCUUUGCCUUUUGGGGAGGGGAGACAGCCCAGAGAAGGCUUCGGAGACCCUUGAGUCGGCCAGCGAACAGGGUUUCUUACUUGAGCGCCUCCACAAAUAAACGCUCCUUCGCUCCUCCGUCGCGUGCGUUUCCCUGGGAUAAUAAGUGGGAAAGUGGUGGCUUUUAUUUUUUUGAGACAGGGUCUCACCGCCGUCGCCCAGGCUGGAUGGAGUGCAGUGGCGCGAUCACGGCUCACUGCAGCCUCGACUUCCCAGGCUCAGAGAUGGGUUUCACCAUGUUUCCCAGCCUUGUCUCAAACUCCUGACCUCAAGUGAUCCGCCGUCUUGGGUCUUCGAAAGUGCUGGGACAGCAGGAGUGAGCCACCGCAUCUGGCCCGGAAAGUGUUUUGGAGCGUAGAAAAAUGCAAAUUAUAGGGCUGCCUUCAAGGAUCCCGAAGGACCCACAGAUUUGCCGCAUCAGGCUCCUAUGCACGCCGGUAAUUUGAUGUGUUGAGAUGCACUGCCCAGUGCGUUGUUUUUACUGGAGGAGCUUGUGUGCGGAGCUCCUUGCUAGUGUAUGUGUUGGGAUGGGAGAGAAGUGCGGGAGAACUAUGAGAUAAUGCCCCCUGAUCCUCAGGGUCUUAGGAGGUAUGGUCGGAGAGGCUAAGCUAAAGUAUGAAAGCCGUGUGUAGGCCCUUCUGUGUAGUGCAGAAAAGGGAGAGGUAUGUGAUUUGAAAGAGUAGGGAUGACAUGGAGGAUGCGACUCCUGGUUGGAUCUAUAAACUAAUGUCUUUGGAACGAAAGCACAUGCAACGUUUUGAAAAUGGAUGGGCGAUAAUGAAAGACCAUUCCAGAGAAGAAACACCAUGGUGCAAAGGCUCAAGAGGCAUACUGAAAGUACAAUGAAGAGAGCAAUCUAACUGAAAUGGGAAAAAAAGAAACAAAGAGUAAAAAGUAAGAUUUGAUGAGAAAGAUGGAAUCGAUUUUUAAAUUUUUUUAUCUACACAAGAAAAUUUAUUAUCUUAACCAUUUUUGAGUGAAUAAUUCAUUAGUAUUAAGUAUAUUUACCUUGUGCAGCCAGUCUCCAGAAUUCUUUUCAUCUUGCAAAACAAACCUGGCACCCAUUAAACAAUUUCUCAUUCGCCAUUUUCCAGCUAGCCUUGGUAACCUCCAUUCUAGUUCUGUCUCUAUGAAUUUGACUACUUUAUGUACCUCGUGUAAGUGGUAUCAUACAGUAUUUGUCUUUUUGUGACUGGCAUAUUUCACAUAGCAUAAUCUCCUUGUGGUUUAUCCAUCUUGUAGCAUGUGUCAGAAUUUCCUUCCCUUUUAAGACUAAAUAAUAUUCCAUUGUAUGUAUAUACCACUUGUGUUAUUUCCACCUUUUGGUUAUUGUGAAUAAUACUGCUUCAAACAUGAGUGUACAGAUAACUCUUCAAGAUCCUUUUAGGGUGAUACAGAGAUAGUAAGUUAUCUUGAUUGUUCACUGCCAGUUACAGACCAAACUCCUUGUUCUCCUUGUGCUCCACUUCUCACCACUGCACUUGGCUAGUCUUAAACAAAAAAAGAAAAACUCUAAUUUUAAUAGCUUGUGGGGACAGACACAGUGGCUCACGCCUAUAAUCCCAACACUUUGGGAGGCCGAGGCGGGUGGAUCACUUGAGGUCAAAAGUUCGAGACCAGCCUGGCCAAUAUGGUAAAACCCUGUCUCUACUAAAAAUACAAAAAUUAGCCGGGUGCGGUGGCACACACCUGUAAUCCCAGCCACUCAGGAGACUGAGGCAGGAGAAAUGCUUGAACCCAGGAAGUGGAGGUUGUGUUGAACGGAAAUUGCGCCACCGCACUUAAGCUGGGCGACAGCGAGACUCCGUCUCAAAAAUUAGUAUUAAUAGAAUGUGGGAGAUUUUGAAACCAAGUAUAGAAAUUCAUACUUUAUAUUGUUUAAGGUCCUUGACUAGGCAUAGUAACAUGAUGAAAGAACUGUUUUGGGUUUGUUUGGUUUUUUUCCGAGACAGAGUCUCACUGUGUUGCCCAGGCUGGCGUGCAGUGGUGCGAUCUCGCCUCAGUGCAACCUCUGCCUCCCUGGUUGAAGCGAUUCUCUUUCCUCAGCCUCCUGAGUAGCUGGGACUACAGGCACAUGCCACCACGCCCAGCUAAUUGUUGUAUUUUUAGUAGAGGCGGGGUUUCACCAUGUUGGCCAGGAUGGUCUCGAUCUCUUGACCUCGUGAUCCAGCCUCCCAAAGUGCUGGGAUUACAGGCAUGAGCCACCACGCCCAGCUAGAAAGAUCUGUUUCAGAAAGCAACUCUGGCAGUGGAAGCUGAAUACAUACUCCAUUUCUAUAAAGCAUUUAUGGAGGCCUCUAGAUGUGCCACGCAUUGUACUGCUGCUUUAUGUAAAUUAUUGAUGGGUCCAUGAAUCCAUUAAAAUAAAUGUGAGCCAGUUGUUAUGCACCCCAAUUUACAGGCAAGAAAAUCAAGGUUCUGAGUUGCAGAUGGGCUGAGAAAAGGCUCACCAACCACAUGUACACACAAGAGAUUAGGAAAGAAAACUGCCAUUGGAGCCAGGCCCCGGUAAGCACUGAGUAUUCGUUGCUUUGGAUGAGGAUACUGAAAAAAAAAAAUGACAUGUAAGAGUGACUUUUCUCAGGAGAAAGAAUAGGCUGACAUCAAGAGUCUUUGCUGUCACAUUAGUGGUACGUAUAAGGGCACAACACAACAGAAGUACAUUUUUCAAGGUUUGUAAAAGAACCCUGGGGUUUGCUUUUAGGUUUGUUUAUUACCUUUAACAAAUAUAAAAUGCCAGGUAAAUACAUCUUUGUAUGUAGUAGAGAAAUUAAUAAGACAUACCCUUCCCUACUCAACAUUUCAUCUUUGAUUUUAUAUUCUCAAAAAUAUUGUGAGGUCUUUUAAGGAAAUGAUCUCCUUUUGGCAGAUGAGGAAAUUGAGGGCCAGAGAGGAAAAAUUAUCUUCCCAAUGCCACAUGCCUAAUUGGUCUCAAAGCUUUGACUGGAACCUGAGCCUCCAGAAUUGCUGCUAUGCUUUCAUCUCCCUUAGAGAGAUAGAUAACAGUAGUCAGAGUGAGUGGACAAUUCUUCUAUUCAGUCAGUCUGAUCUUCCUCAGGGAUGCAUAUCCAGACUCCCAUGGAGCUAGUGAUAGUUAAACAAAGAGGCAGAGAAUAUAGUGCAUUAUAAAUAGCAUUCAUACACUCAAAAAUAUUGUGUGCCGAUACUGUGCCAAACACUUAGCAAAGCAGGGAAAAAUCCCUGUCCUCAUAGCAGAGACUAAAAAUAUUAAUAAGUAAAAUAUAUACUACGACAGGUAGGAUAAGUGUUGGCAAGAAAAAGUGAAGCAGUGAGAGGGGAAUAGGGUGAGCCGAGAGUAGGGAGGGAGGUUUUUGUUUAUACCAGAGGCAGAGGAGCCCCACUGAGAAGGCAAACUGUACAAAGAUCUAAAGGAGGCAAAGGAACAAGAAAUGUGCCUUGGGUAGACAGGGAACAUUCCGGGUGGAAUAACAAGUGCAGAAAUCAUUAAGGCAGAAAGAUGCCUACUACAUUCUAAGAACAGAAAGCAGUCCAGAGUGAUAGAAGCAGAGUAUAGGAGGGUAAAAGUAGGAAAUGAAGUCAGAGAGGUAAGAGGAAUUCAAAUUGGGCAUGGACUUACAGGCCAUUGUAAGGACUUUGGCUUUUUCUGAGGGAGAUGGGAAGCCAUCAUUGAGUAGAAAAAUAGUGAAAUUCUACUUAUAUAUUUAAAGAAUCACAUUGACUUCUAGUUUGACACUAGAUUAUUGAGGAGCAAGGGGGACCACUUAGGAAGCUAUUGUAAUACUCCAGGUGAGAGAUAAGUGGCAUAGAAAAGGUGCAAGCAGUGGAGAGAUGACGUAUCUGGAUAUAUUCAGGGUGGCACACAGGAUUUGAUGACAAUUUAUAUAGGAUGUGAGAAAAUGAAGGGAGUCCAAGGUGACUACGAUUUUUGGCCUGAGCAUUUUGAAGAAUGGUGUUGUCAUUUACUGAAAUGGGAAAGAUGGAGGAGCAGGUUGGGGAUGGGAAGAGAUAAAUUCCAUUUUGGGCCAGGCAGGGUGGCUCACACCUGUAAUCCCAGUACUUUGGGAGGCCAAGGCAGGCAGAUCGCUUGAGCUCAGGAGUUCAAAACCAGCCUGGGUAACAGGGUAAAACCCCAUCUCUACAAAAAUUAGCCAGGCGUGGUGGCAGAUGCCCAUAGUCUCAGCUGCUUGGGAGGAUCACUUGAGCCCUGGAGGUGGAGGUUGCAGUGAGCCAAAAUGGCACCACUGCACUCCAGCCUGGGUGACAGAAUGAGACCCCGUCUCAAAAAGACACAAAAAUUCUGUUUUGGAGCUUAAAUUUGAGAUGCCUGUUAGAAUGCCACAUGAAAAUAUCAAGAAGAGAGUUAGAUAUGUAGGAGUCUGGAAUUUAGAAACGUCCAGACUGGAGAUGUAAAUUUGGGAGAGAGCAUGUAGAGAGUAUUUGAAGCCAUGAAAUAAUCUACAUAUAAAGUGUAGACAGAAGUUUGAGAAAGGUAUCUUAGGCACUGAAAUAGGAGGAAACCAGGAAAAGAAUCCCAGUUGAACUGGGUGGGGAGGAUGGCUCAAGGAAGAACAACCAUGUCAAUUGCUGGGUUCUAACUGGCCACUGCUUAUGAUAGUGGAGUAGUAAUGAUAAAAGCCUGAUUGGAAUGGAUUUAGAAUAGUGGGAACGGAAUUGGAGAGAGGGAGAAUAGAUAAUUUGGGUAUGGAGUUGGUUGUAAGGAUAGUAGGUAGAAAAGUGAUAACUGCAAGGGGUCAAGACAGUGGUUUUAAAAUUACUUCACAAAUUUUUUAGUAUUUCUAAAAGAAUUCUUUUUUUAAUAAAUAUAACUUCAGACCGCUAUUGUUCCUUUAUAUCAACUACCCUGU